AAGUCGUAACAAGGUUUCCGUAGGUGAACCUGCGGAAGGAUCAUUAAAAGAUCAACCCGGUUUGAAUUCAACGCCUUCACAGGCCUCGUGGGGCUGUUUUAAACUCACAGCAAGUCCAGUUGAUAAGUCAUGCCGGGGCGUCAGGCCCGCCGGGCGUUGAAUCCCACCCGUGUCUACAUACUCUUGUUGCUUUGGCAGGCCGUGGUCUCCACUGUGGGCUCUGCCUGCAUGUGCCUGCCAGAGGACCAAACUCUGAAUUUUAGUGAUGUCUGAGUACUAUAUAAUAGUUAAAA
rnacentral:misc_RNA from 1 species